UGCCAGCCGCCGCGGUAAGACAGAGGGUGCAAACGUUGUUCGGAAUUACUGGGCGUAAAGCGCGUGUAGGCGGCCGAGUAAGUCGGGUGUGAAAGCCCAGGGCUCAACCUUGGAAGUGCACUCGAAACUGCACGGCUGGAGUCUCGGAGAGGGAAGUGGAAUUCUGGGUGUAGAGGUGAAAUUCGUAGAUAUCGGGAGGAACACCAGCGGCGAAGGCGGCUCUCUGGACGGUGACUGACGCUGAGACGCGAAAGCGUGGGGAGCAAACAGGAUUAGAUA
rnacentral:rRNA from 1 species